rnacentral:rRNA from 1 species
GUCUAUGGCCAUGCCACCCUGAACAAGCCCGAUCCCGUCUGAUCUCGGAAGCUAAGCAGGGUCGGGCCUGGUUAGUACUUGGAUGGGAGACCACCUAGGAAAACCAGGUGCUGUAGGCA